AAAGGCAUUGGUAACCUGCUUAGAAUAAUAGAGGACUUCGGUUCUAUCAACUGGUUCAGGAACUGGAGUAAUGAUUAAGAGGGACAAUUCGGGUGCAUUUGUAUCCCUGCGCGAGAGGUGAAAAUUGUGGACCGCAGGGGGACGCCCUAAAGCGAAAGCAACUGCCAAGAAUGGCUUCAUUCAAUAAGAACGAAAACCAGAGGUUCGAAAGCGAUUAGAUGCCGCCCUAGUUCUGACCUUAAACUAUGCCAUUUAGCG
rnacentral:ncRNA from 1 species